GGAGGCGAAAGGAGCCCGGUGGAUCUCCGGGCCUUCAAAGCCUGCGAUGCGGUCCUUCGCGGCCCGCCUGGUGGGUUCGACUCCCAUACGCUUCCGCCA
rnacentral:tRNA from 1 species